rnacentral:rRNA from 1 species
GGAGCACGCCGCGUGAGUGAUGAAGGCUUUCGGGUCGUAAAACUCUGUUGUUAGGGAAGAACAAGUGCUAGUUGAAUAAGCUGGCACCUUGACGGUACCUAACCAGAAAGCCACGGCUAACUACGUGCCAGCAGCCGCGGUAAUACGUAGGUGGCAAGCGUUAUCCGGAAUUAUGGGCGUAAAGCGCGCGCAGGUGGUUUCUUAAGUCUGAUGUGAAAGCCCACGGCUCAACCGUGGAGGGUCAUUGGAAACUGGGAGACUUGAGUGCAGAAGAGGAAAGUGGAAUUCCAUGUGUAGCGGUGAAAUGCGUAGAGAUAUGGAGGAACACCAGUGGCGAAGGCGACUUUCUGGUCUGUAACUGACACUGAGGCGCGAAAGCGUGGGGAGCAAACAGGAUUAGAUACCCUGGUAGUCCACGCGUAAACGAUGAGUGCUAAGUGUUAGAGGGUUUCCGCCCUUUAGUGCUGAAGUUAACGCAUUAAGCACUCCGCCUGGGGAGUACGGCCGCAAGGCUGAAACUCAAAGGAAUUGACGGGGGCCCGCACAAGCGGUGGAGCAUGUGGUUUAAUUCGAAGCCGCGAAGAACCUUACCAGGUCUUGACAUCCUCUGACAACCCUAGAGAUAGGGCUUCUCCUUCGGAGCAGAGUGACAGGUGGUGCAUGGUUGUCGUCAGCUCGUGUCUGAGAUGUUGGGUUAAGUCCCGCAACGAGCGCAACCUU